rnacentral:lncRNA from 1 species
CUCAACAAUUGUUGAUAUUUAUAAAUAUUUAGACGAAGAGUACAAUAGUAUGGUAACAACCGCUUUCUUUCUUGAUUUAGAGCAUUACAUGACAUAACAUAAUGAUAUUCUUCACCUACGUCUCUUGAUUCGCAAAGGUGGCACAACCUAUCAUUUCUUGAUAUGUUAUUCCGCCUUCCCGUCUCGAUAGGUAAUCGAUGACUUCCACAUCUAAAUUUACACAAUAACAAUUGAUUAUAUAUUGACAAUUUGGAAAAAUAGCUUUCUAAUUUAAUAUCAGUUUUAAAAAUUCUAUAACAUAAGCAUUU